rnacentral:rRNA from 1 species
AUUGAACGCUGGCGGCAUGCCUUACACAUGCAAGUCGAACGGCAGCACAGAGGAGCUUGCUCCUUGGGUGGCGAGUGGCGGACGGGUGAGGAAUACAUCGGAAUCUACUCUGUCGUGGGGGAUAACGUAGGGAAACUUACGCUAAUACCGCAUACGACCUACGGGUGAAAGCAGGGGACCUUCGGGCCUUGCGCGAUUGAAUGAGCCGAUGUCGGAUUAGCUAGUUGGCGGGGUAAAGGCCCACCAAGGCGCAGAUCCGGAGCUGGUCUGAGAGGAUGAUCAGCCACACUGGAACUGAGACACGGUCCAGACGACUACGGGAGGCAGCAGUGGGGAAUAUUGGACAAUGGGCGCAAGCCUGAUCCAGCCAUACCGCGUGGGUGAAGAAGGCCUUCGGGUUGUAAAGCCCUUUUGUUGGGAAAGAAAUCCAGCCGGCUAAUACCUGGUUGGGAUGACGGUACCCAAAGAAUAAGCACCGGCUAACUUCGUGCCAGCCGCCGCCGUAA